GAAAAGUCACCCAGUCCCAUGCCAUUUCUAAUCUGGGGAGAAAAAACAAUCUUUGGGGAUCUCAGUAAAUUUAAAUGCCCAGAUAAAUGUUUCUCUUUAACUUAAAAGCAGAAGCAGUGUUGUCUUUUAAGCAGAAGUAGCAUUUUCUAAGUUUUUUUUUCUUUUUGGUCCUCGAUUGGAUUCCACCAACAGAAUGAAGAGCAGGACACAUUUUCCCACCAACACCACCAGAAUCAACAAGAGCUCCAAAUAAGAAGCCAUAGCAGACCUCACCUCCUCCUGACGUCUACUGUCUAAUGGAGACCAGAUGCAGAAGGAUAUCUUGCCUGCAGUGAGUCAAAAAGUUGGGAUGCAUCCAAACACGGUGGUACCAGGACCUGCUAACAGCAACUCAAAGAAUGAAAGCACAGUCUUGAUUCGUGGCAUGUACUUCCCCAGUUCUCCUUUGAGUGCCUUGCCUUGGCACCAUCUCCCAAUUAGUGCUGCUUGGUUAAUUGGUGUAUCACCACUUUAGACUCUGGAGAACUUGAAUUAAGCUUCAUGAAUUUGACUUCCAAGGACAAGGGCUCUUAAAGGAGCAAGAGCAGCAGAGGGACAGCAUUGAUCAACAGCUCAGACAGUGGAGAUACAAAAAAUGCUGUGCAUGGGAAUGUCUCAGUGUUUCCUAACACCAGGGAAAACAGGAGUUUUCAAGCUUCCUGAGAGGGUGGUCUUUGCUUGAGACAAGGACCAAAGGGAUGAACAAUCACAGGUUAAAACUGUCAAAAUAUUUAUUUCUUGGUUUUGAGCCCAGUGAGCCUGUAAUUAGGAAAUAUAUUUUUUCUUGUGAACACCCAUUUGAUGUGCUGUGUAGAGCUGGGAGGUGGCCAGAAGAGGACUCUUUUCUGCUGCCUUUUCCUGGCUGACCCUAAUAACCAGAGAUGGAAAAUAGCCCUACUCUGGGUGCUGCUUCAGGGAAUACCCAGGCAAACAGAAUCUGCUUUUCCUAGAAAAGAAUAAGCUCCCAUUUAAUACAGGAUUUAUUUCAAGCAUCAUGUCUGAAAAAAUAGGGCAAAAUAUCCAGGAUACCUGUCAGCUCUUCUGCAUCCAUUACUAAUGAUGGGAAAAUUUGCUUAGGACAAAACAGAAGUGUCCCUCAGCUCCUCCCAUCAGUGUCCACAAUCCAACUUUACAGGGCCACCACUUCAGCAAGGAAUUAAUGUUAUUGUUAAUAUUAAGCACUUCUCCAAUUUUUAUCUAUUCAUGAGAAAAAAAAAAAAAGUUAGGUUUUCCAAUUGGAAAAUUUCCUAUUGGUCCAAUGACCAAGCUGAAGGACUUUGAAUCUUUAGUUUUUUCAUUUUUACCGCAGGAUCCUCCUGCCUCUGCUGCUGUGCUCUGUUCUGGUCUGACCUGAGCCCCUGAAUCAUCCUGGGAAGUGGCUGCUCUGAGCAGUCCAGAAAGAAGUGUGAAGCUCUGUGGUGGUUGCUGUGGUUUCUUCUCUCUGUUUUGCAGGGCUCAGCUCUUUUCUGGUGUUCAGUAAACGACAAAUGUGUCCAUUUAGUGUGGUUUUGUAGGGAGGUGUGAAUUGUGUCUGCUGGUACCUGCUUGUUGAGUCAGUAACUCAAACUCAUUUCCACUAAAUCUCAUGGAGAAAUGGGAGUAUCAAACAUAUCAACAGUUCUACAGACUUCAUCAAAACCAGCAUGUGGGAAGGGAAGAGAAAUCAGAAUUUGUGUCUCCUAGGGACAUGGUUUAGUGAUGGACAUGGCAGUGCUGGCUGGGCAGUUGGGCUUGCUGAUCUUAGAGUCUUUUCCAACCUAAACAAUUCUAUAAGAUCCAAUUUCUGGUUUCUCUGACAGCAUCCAGCUGAUGGGCCUGAUACCCCUGGCCAAGCUCUACCUGGGUGAUUCCAGUACUGCCAUAGGACCUGCCUUGUCCUUGGGCUUAUCUCAGGGAAUGUGGGGCAGAGCUGGGCUCUGUGAGUGUGAUCCAGGGGGACACAGAACAAACAAUACCUUUGACAUGUAUCUUUGCCAGAAAUUAGACUGGGAUGCAGCUCAGUGUGAAAAGAAAAAGGAAAUUAAAUAUUGGUUCUGUUGAAGCCAAUAACAAGAUUACUCAUCUUGAAUUUUGGUCACUCUCUGUAAUAAUGUGGCCAAACAAGAAGUCCUUAAGAAUAAAAAAUUGUGGAUACAACCCUUGCCAUAGAUAACACCCCAGUAAUGUGGUAGGUGAUUCCAUCCAGUCUCUCUUUGGGAACUACAGCUUGUAAAUGUAAAAUUUGGAUUUUUGUCUGUCUUCCUCGAGACUCCAUUGCCAACACAAACCUAAGAAUUUGUCCUCCUAAACUCCUUGUUUUCCUCAGAUGAGUUAAGCUAAUUAUUAUUUUGGACCUGAAUGAGGGAUGAGAGCUGGAUGGGACACAAGGCCCUGUGCUGCCAAAGGACAGGAAAAACACCCACCUGCCUUGGGUACUCAUCUCGGGGCUCCUAAAUCUCCUUCUGCAGCUAUUCAUCCCUUCCUGGGACUGUGAGGGAAGCCCUGAUGUUGGCUGGUUCCCUCACUUCUAGACAGCUUGGAGGGGAUUAUCUGUUCACCCUGAAGAAUGCUGGAGAGAUUCAGUCUUUUAUAAAAAAUCUUGAGACAUCUCCACAGGGAACAUUUUAUGGUUGAAAAUAGAGAGUAGCAACCUUUGCCUGACUUUUUCUGAGGUUCAUAAUCAGUAUUUACAAAGCAGUAAAGCCCAGCACCAUUCUGUGUUAUGCACAGGCAAGAGAGCAAACUCACUUGGUUUUGGAAAUGUGAGACAUACUGAGACAUUUAAAAAGAAGUUUUCUAAUGAGCUUGGUCUUUUUCAGCAUUUAGGAACAACCAUCAGCCAUUAGCUGUCCCUCCAACUUUUGAUGCAGAUGAUCAAAUACUUGAAGGCAUUUCUGGAGUGCUCAGGACUAUUUCAGUGAAAGAGGCAAUUACAGAAAUGAUGCUGCUUCCAGCCAGCAGCUCCCCACAAGAUGAGAGCACCAGACAGCCCCUGGCCACAAGUACCAGAAAUUUGAAAGAAAAUAAAGGGUUCAUUUAAAAAAGAGAAAGAUCAUAACUUUAUAAUAACACUAUUAUUCAAAGAAAAAUACUUCCUUAUGAAUUUGCAAAACCACUUUAGGCUUCAGGAUUUUUUUUUCCAUCCCCCAAUUGCAAUUAAUUCUGAACCAUGAAAUAGAGCAUACAAUAACAUCAACUGGUUCCCCAAAGGCUGUUGCUUUGCCCUGGUGUCCCAACUGGUUUUCAGGAUUACUCCACAGACUGAAGGUGCCUGAGAGAAAACAGGUUAAAUGCUGCCUCCUGGAUUUUGCCUCUGCUGAAAAAGAAACUUUAUUUAUUGACAAAUCACUACUUGUUCAUUAUUUCAAGGGAGAAGACCUUUUUGUCCAUUUCUUUUCUUUCACUUCCUCUCAAAUAAUGCAUAUAUUUGCUUCAAAUUUAAAACUGCUGAAGAGUUGACUGGUUUUGUGAGUGCUAAUUUCACUAUUCUGCUCAUUUUAUCUGUGUGAAAUGCUCUCGGUUUUGUGUGUGCAGUGAAAAGCCACCCUCCUGCUGAAAGUUGUCCUGGAGACUUUCUCUGCAGCAACUUCUCCCUUUUGUACCCAAGAGUGAAACAACACCUUUGUUCCAAACACAGUUUAAAGGUGGAAAAACUAUCUCAUGGCUGGUAUUUUAGGUUUCUGCUGCAGAGAAAUAGAAGAGCUGCAGUUCAGCCAAUUUUAAGGACAGUCUUGAUUUCCCAAGAGUUUCAGAUGUAUUUAAACUUUCAUGUGCCCUACAUCUGGACCAAGGCUUUGGUUUGUAAUUGUACAGGAUUUUGUCAGCAAAGUAUCAGAGCUGAUACAGCCCUUGUUAGGCUGAUUUGGUUUAAAAAACUCAUGUAUCUCAAAGCUUAUGGCUGUAAAAAAUAAAUUGUCUGUGAAA